CACGUAGGGGGCAAGCGUUGUCCGGAUUUAUUGGGCGUAAAGAGCUCGUAGGCGGUUCGCUAAGUCGGGUGUGAAACCUCCAGGCUCAACCUGGAGACGCCACCCGAUACUGGUGUGACUCGAGUCCGGUAGGGGAGCGUGGAAUUCCUGGUGUAGCGGUGAAAUGCGCAGAUAUCAGGAGGAACACCAGCGGCGAAGGCGGCUUCCUGGCCUGUUCUUGACGCUGAGGCGCGAAAGCUAGGGGAGCAAACGGG
rnacentral:rRNA from 1 species